UUAAUUGAUUGGAGAAGGUCGAAGUCAAGAACCGAGCCAAGUCGAGACUUCGAAGUAGCUAAUAAAAUUGGUCACUUAUGUAUUUGAACAACAAAGUCUAAAACCAUGAACUUCACGUGUCAAGGAGUAAAUUUGAUGAAGGGGCCGAAGCCUAAUUCAAUUAGGAUUAGCUUGAAAAUUGCAGCCGAAGACGGAGCCAAAAUCAAAGGUUGUGCAACCGCACAGCUUCCAACCCUUGCGGCCGCAUAGGAGCAAACAGGGAAUUUUUCGGCAACAUUCGGAACAACCAUGCAACCGCACUAAAUUGUGCCAUGCGGUCGCAUAGCACUAAACGGAGGCGAAAUCUUUCCUUUUCUCGCGAAGUGCUUUAAUUGGUUGAAUUUCUUAUUUUUGGAAACUCUAAUAUUAUUAGGACUUUAGCACACGGUUUUUCCAUAUUUUAGGAGUUUAUUUUUAUCUUUAAUUAUUUUUCUAUGUUUCUAGUAUAAAUAGGAUUUUCUUUCAUAAUUGUAAUACAAGACUUUAUUGAUGAAGUAAUGAGAGAUUUUCCUCUUCAAAGCGUUGCUUCAGAACUGUCUAUGACGGGCAAUUUUAUCGAAUUUAUCAAGAUUUAAACAUCUUAUGGCGUUCAAAACAUCGGGUUGAAUCAUUAAAUUGUGUAAUCAAGGGGUCUUUCGCGUCAACGUUACCGUUGGAUUUUUUUGGUUCAUCUUUUAUUGGUUCAAAUCCACAAUCUGGGUUUGAUUUCUUCAAUCGUGUGAUCAAGAGGUCCUUCAUAGCAACGUUCUUGUUGGGUUGCUUGGUUCACUAUUUUGGGGUCAGAUCCAUAAACCUCGGUCAUAUUGGCGUUCUUGGGAUCUGAUUCAAUAUCCCGUGGGUUCGAUUGCAACCUUACCGAUCGAGUUCGCAUCAGUUGGUAUCAGAGCUUUAGGCACCAAGAUCAAGAUUAUAUCUUUUCCUUUUCUUAUUGAGUCAGUUUUCAUUUUUUUUAAUUGUUCUUGGAGUCAAUAAUGUUUAGAGUCUUUGAUCCUUAAAAAUAAAAAUAAAAUUAAAUUAAAUCUUGUUUUUGGGCUAAUUUGACAUCCAAAUCCUAUUCCGUUUGUUCCGUUAGCAUCGUAGUCGAAUUUUUCAUCUAGUGAGUCAAAAAAAGAAAAAAAAAAUUGUUUACUGUUCACAGUCACUAUUCAUCCGUGCAGUGUCAAAAAAAAUAAAUUUCAAGAUCUUAUUAUUUGGGUAAAAAAAAAAAAAAUUAUUGUGUCAAAUUCCAAUUCAAAAACCACUUUCUUGAAUUCAUACUAAAGUUCCAAUCAAGGUAGUCUAAUCAGUCAGAAAUUCAAGACCACUUGAAUUUUCAUAAUUCAUUCCAAAUUUUCUGUCAAAUUCCUGAGUCUUUGAAAAUUCUCGAGUUUCACCCACAACCCAAUUGAAUUAUGUCUGAAACGAUGAUGCGGCGAUUGGAGAAAAUGUUGGUGAAUAUGGAAGAUAGGUUGGGAAAUAAGUUGGAUAGGAUUGAUGUGAAAUUGAAGGAGAUUCAUCGGGAUCAAUGUGAUGAGGUGCUCAAUGUUAGACGACGGGAACCUAGAAUUAAAAUGUGUGAUGUCUAUGGAUAUGGUGGUGGUAUUGAUGAGGUACGGGGAUUAAGGAAUAAAUAUGAUCAAUCCGAAGAAAAGGAUAGAAAUCAUUUUGGAGGUGUUGGUAGGAAUGUGGAAAAUGGCAAAAUAUCACUUCCACGAUUUAAGGGUAGGGACAAUCCCGAGGCAUACUUUGCAUGGGAAGAACGGGUAGAAUUAAUGUUUGACUGCCAUGACUACUCCGAUGAGAGAAAAUUAAAGUUAGUUAUGUACACUUUUGUGGGUUAUGCAACUACUUGGUACGAUCAGUUGACAAACUAGUGGAAGAAUGGAAAUAGGCGUAUUGAAACUUGGGAUGAAUUGAGAACUAUAAUGAGGAAGCGAUAUGCGCCUAAUUAUUUUUAUAAACCGGAUCAGUGUGAGCGAGAAUUUAGGGAGAAGCCUAGUAGACAUUAUGGAGAUGGGUAUCUAAUGGAAAAGGGCGAGACAAAUUUUCCACAAAAAGAGAGCUCUAGAGAAAAUAGUGAGGUGGUCAAUUGUGAGGACAAAGUAGAUGAGCCACAAGAAAAUAAAAAGGAGAUCGAGAGUAAAAAUGAGAAUAAAGAAGUGGUUAAAUUAGAAGUGGAAAAUGGAGUAGGGUCUUUGGAGGUAAAUGAAGUGAUGGAAGUGAGCUUGGAUGAAAAUGAAAGAGGAGUUGAGAAGGCUUUAUCAGAAACUAAUAAUUCCCUCCCUAUUUUGGACAUUCCAUUUUUGCAGGUUAUCGGAGAUUUAGUCCAUGACGCUGAGCCAAUUGGGAUUCCUUACAACCCGGGCAUUGAUAAUCAAUUGGUGGAUAAUGCUCAACAACAUCAUCUUGGUUUGGAAUUCUCUUCAAAACCAAACAUUGAAUUUGUGAUCCCUGAGGAAGUGAUGGAGUAUCAAAGGCCAUGGAAGCAAUUUAUUUGCAGGGAGCUGAAAUACCAAAGUGAUAUGCCAUUAAAAAUGCAUCCCAUUGGAGUGACAAUGCUACAUUUGCCCAGGCCGAGUAUGAGUAACGCAAGAAAAAAGAUUGGAGAUUUAUCAGCUGAAUUUAUUUUUGGAACAUCACAAGCUUGCAAAAAGAAACCAUCCAAGCGUAAGCACUUCAAUCUUUGUGAAGGAGAUUGGGUUUUUAUAUGCAAGAGGAGGACAAGAAUUCAAAAGCGGUCCAAGUUUCAACCUAGAGGCGGUGGACCAUUUCACGUCAUUGCAUUAAUUGGAAACAAGGGCUAUAAUUUGGAAAUUGAAGGUUUGGAUUCGAGGUCGAAUCCUUUUGAAGAGAGGGGGAUGAUAUGAUCCCGGGUGCACCAUCAAUUUCCAAGAAUUCAUUAAUUGAUUGGAGAAGGUCGAAGUCAAGAACCAAGCCAAGUCGAGACUUCGAAGUAGCUAAUAAAAUUGGUCACUUAUGUAUUUGAGCAACGAAGUCUAAAACCAUGAAGUUCACGUGUCAAGGAGUAAAUUUGAUGAAGGGGCCGAAGCCUAAUUCAAUUAGGAUUAGCUUGAUAAUUGUAGCCGAAGACGGAGCCAAAAUCAAAGGUUGUGCGACCGCACAGCUUCCAACCCUUGCGGUCGCAUAGGAGCAAACAGGGAAUUUUUCGGCAACAUUUGGAAC
rnacentral:lncRNA from 1 species